AGUGAACGCUGGCGGUAGGCCUAACACAUGCAAGUCGAACGGCAGCACAGUAAGAGCUUGCUCUUACGGGUGGCGAGUGGCGGACGGGUGAGGAAUACAUCGGAAUCUACUUUUUCGUGGGGGAUAACGUAGGGAAACUUACGCUAAUACCGCAUACGACCUACGGGUGAAAGCAGGGGAUCUUCGGACCUUGCGCGAUUGAAUGAGCCGAUGUCGGAUUAGCUAGUUGGCGGGGUAAAGGCCCACCAAGGCGACGAUCCGUAGCUGGUCUGAGAGGAUGAUCAGCCACAAGGGAACUGAGACACGGUCCAGACUCAGACGGGAGGCAGCAGUGGGGAAUAUUGGACAAUGGGCGCAAGCCUGAUCCAGCCAUACCGCGUGGGUGAAGAAGGCCUUCGGGUUGUAAAGCUCUUUUGUUGGGAAAGAAAAGCAGCAGGUUAAUACCCCGCUGUUCUGAAGGGACCCAAAGAAUAAGCACGGGCGAGCGUCGGG
rnacentral:rRNA from 1 species